CAUGCUUGUCCUUCCACUGCUCACAAAUGAUAUGUCAGAAUCUGUUACCGGGGGCUGGUAUGUGCCUUCAAAUCCCUUUCUGCUGAAAAUUGACCUGUUGGAGUCACACAUUGCAAGGUGUUCUCGGAGGUGAACACGUAGCUGUUCUCGCCGACGAGAUUUUCCCUCUGGAAAUUGCAUAUACAGUACAGAAAUUCGGUGCCCCUUUCAUGACUGAGCUCGAGACAUCUGAUGCUUUAAACCUUCUGUCAAACGAAAACAUUAGCUCGGGUUAUGGAUACUUCUUCCUUUUUUUGAAUUUUUAAAUUUUAAUUUUCUAAACCACCUUUUGCUUUGCGCGAUCGAUGAUCCUUGAGAGGUAGUUGCAGGAAAAAGAAACUUAUUACUUCUUAUUGUUCAAUCUAGAAAACUAGCUAGCUUUUGAAGAGUUGCUUACCUCAAUAGAUUGGUCUUAGCUGCUCCGACUACUAGAGUUUCAAUUGCAUUCUCAGUCACGUAUUUGACUAAACCUUUAGCUACAUCUGUGUCAUCCAAAACCACAUCUUCGCAGUUUAUCUGAUACAGGAAAAAGGACCCUCAAAUCAUGCUGUGGAAACAAAGAGCAGCAUAUAUGAUGGGAAGAAACAAGGUGAAGUGAAAACUGACUCCUUUCCGGGCACAAAAGCAACGGAAUGGGAGAAACAAUUCCUUCAUGUCAUCUCCAUGCUUACCGCUGGGUGUGGAUCCUGCAAAAAUACAGAACAGUGUACAUCAGAAUACAUCAUAAAGGUACACAGAUUCUCCUGGUGUCUCUUCUGGAUAAAAGAAAAUUUCUACUGCUUUCAUUUUUUGUUACAUCUCCUGGAACAAAUCAGCACAACCCAUUUGAUAAUCCGGACAUUUGAUGCGAAA